AUUUUUCAUGAUGUGUUUGAUACCGCCCCAGUCCGAUAAUUGUGACGAUUGGUUCUAUAAUUUCUGAAAUU